CCUACGGGAGGCAGCAGUGGGGAAUAUUGCACAAUGGGGGAAACCCUGAUGCAGCGACGCCGCGUGAGCGAAGAAGUAUUUCGGUAUGUAAAGCCCUAUCAGCAGGGAAGAAGAAAUGACGGUACCUGAGUAAGAAGCACCGGCUAAAUACGUUCCAGCAGCCGCGGUAAUACGUAUGGUGCAAGCGUUAUCCGGGUUUACUGGGUGUAACGGGAGCGCAGGCGGCACGGCAAGCCCGAUGUGAAAGCCCGCGGGCCAACCGGGGGACUGCAUUGGGAACUACCGGGCUGGAGUGACGGAGAGGUAGGCGGAAUGCCUGGUGUAGCGGUGAAAUGCGUAGAUAUUAGGAGGAACACCAGUGGCGAAGGCGGCUUACUGGACGGUGACUGACGCUGAGGCUCGAAAGCGUGGGGAGCAAACAGGAUUAGAUACCCGUGUAGUC
rnacentral:rRNA from 1 species